AUUGAACGCUGGCGGCAGGCCUAACACAUGCAAGUCGAGCGGAGCGGCGUACGGGUGAGUAAUGCCUAGGAAUCUGCCUGGUAGUGGGUGAUCUCGUCCGGAAACGGGCGCUACUACCGCAUACUAGCAGAUGAGCCUAGGUCGGAUUAGCUAGUUGGUGGGGUAAAGGCCUACCAAGGCGACGAUCCGUAACUGGUCUGAGAGGAUGAUCAGUCAGACUGGAACUGAGACACGGCCGAGACUCCUACGGGAGGCAACAGUGGGGAAUAUUGCGCAAGGGGCGAAAGCCUGAUCCAGCCAUGCCGCGUGUGUGAAGAAGGUGUUCGGAUUGUAAAGCACUUUAAGUUGUGAGGCGUUACCAACAGAAUAAGCACCGGCUAACUUCGUGCCAGCCGCCGCGGUAAUAC
rnacentral:rRNA from 1 species